UAUGAACGCUAGCGGGAGGCUUAAUACAUGCAAGUCGUACGGUAACAGGUGUAGCAAUACAUGCUGACGAGUGGCGCACGGGUGAGGAACACGUACACAAUCUGCCCUUGACUGGGAAAUAGCCCUGGGAAACUAGGAUUAAUAGCCCAUAACAUUACGAGAUGGCAUCAUCUUGUAAUUAAACCUCCGGGGGUCAAAGAUGAGUGUGCGUCUGAUUAGCUAGUUGGUAGGGUAACGGCCUACCAAGGCGACGAUCAGUAGCUGGCGUGAGAGCGCGACCAGCCACACGGGCACUGAGACUCGGGCCCGACUCCUACGGGAGGCAGCAGUAGGGAAUAUUGGACAAUGGCUGAAAAGCUGAUCCAGCCAUCCCGCGUGAAGGCAGAAGGUCCUAUGGAUUGUAAACUUCUUUUCUCUGGGAAGAAACCCCUUAUUCAUAAGGGACUGACGGUACCAGAGGAAUAAGCACCGGCUAACUCCGUGCCAGCAGCCG
rnacentral:rRNA from 1 species